rnacentral:lncRNA from 1 species
UAAGAAGGCAACUCAGCUGGUAAAACUAAACAGUAUGCUCGUCCACGCCCCACCUGACAACGGGGAAAGGGAAAAAUUACAACCCGUGGAUGAGACUGAGGUAUACCAGCUGAAAGGGGGGCACGUGGCAUUAGGGAAAGGGUUAGGACCCGACCUAAAGGCCAAACUCAUAACUGUCCUGGAGGAGCACCAGGACAGGUUCGUUUGGGAGGGUGAGGCCCCGACACAGAUUGCGCGUCAAAUUGUGACGCACAAACUCAAUGUCGACCCAUCUAUCCCAGCUCGUCGCCAAAAGCGCCGAGUGCUCACUUCUG